GUCCACACCGUAAACGAUGAUUACUAGAUUUUGGCCUUAUGGUCAGAGUCCAAGCGAAAGUGUUAAGUAAUCCACCUGGGGAGUACGUCCGCAAGGAUGAAACUCAAAGGAAUUGACGGGGCCCGCACAAGCGGUGGAGCAUGUGGUUUAAUUCGAUGAUACGCGAGGAACCUUACCUGGGCUUGAAAGUUAGUGACCGCUCCUGAAAGGGAGCUUUCCGCAAGGACACGAAACUAGGUGCUGCAUGGCUGUCGU
rnacentral:rRNA from 1 species